UCACGACUGUGAUGAAGUUGAUGCAGUUCCACUACAACAUUAUUCAUAUAUAAUGUUGAAAUGAUCCAGCUAAUGCCAAUACAAUACUGUAAACUCAGUACUGAUAUCCUGAGCUAGCGAACACAAAUGGAUGAACUCGUUGCUGCCUGAUGAAGCACGCCUCUAAUACUCAGGCAGCACUUCAAUCCUUCCUCCAUAACGCCUCCUGUCAACCGCCCCUUCUCCAUUGUGUGCACAUUGAUUCUCCCUCCCAUGAUGCCCAGCGUCAACAGAGAGGAAGCUGCCCUUCCACUUCCUUCUUCACUGGAUUACAUCAUGCAUUUGUAAAAAAGCUGUGGGAUCAGUGAAGCUCAGCUCACCAACCAACAGAACAGAGAGCAGACAUCAAGAGGUGGACUUUCUAGUUCACCAGCCCAGUGAUGUCACCCAGGACAGAGAACGCUAUUGGUGGAGAGACAGUGAGGGUUGGACGCAGUAAGAUGGGCAGAGAGGAAAUAUAUCCAUAAAAGGAGUGAUCACUUCUGGAUUUAUAAUUGUUGAUUAGGACUAUUGAUAGAUGAUAGAUGAUGGCCUGG